rnacentral:misc_RNA from 1 species
GAAAUGCGAUAAGUAAUGUGAAUUGCAGAAUUCAGUGAAUCAUCGAAUCUUUGAACGCACAUUGCGCCCGCCAGUAUUCUGGCGGGCAUGCCUGUUCGAGCGUCAUUUCAACCAUCAAGCCCCCGGUUUGUGUUGGGGACCUGCGGCUGCCCGCAGGCCCUGAAAAACAGUGGCGGGCUCGCUGUCACACCGAGCGUAGUAGCAUACAUUCUCGCUCAGGGCGUGCUGCGGGUUCCGGCCGUUAAACGACCUUCAUAACCCAAGGUUGACCUCGGAUCAGGUAGGAAGACCCGCUGAACUUAAGC